UAAUCCAAAACAUCAUGGGGUGCCGGCUGUUUGGUGCCAACAUACGUCACGUUCGUGCAAUGCCAUUCCCAAACAAGAUAAGCAUGAAGGACAGUACUCAUAGGCAGAGUUUUCACCCCCCCUCUCCUGACCCUCUAACUAAAAUCACCCAGUGCUUCCAGAAGUUGUCCUUGUCCCAAACGGGGGCACAACAACUCCCACCCCCCCCUCGCACUCACCCUCUCCUUUCUCACUGAAACGUGUCUGACAGAAGAUUGUAAUGCUCCUAUUCUUAACGAGACAGCACCUGAAAUUUGGCUAUAUGAAUAUGUGUCGAAAUGGUAGGAAAGGAGGAGGAGUGGCUGCCCUAUUCAAAGAUACAUUCCAGUGCAAAGAAAGUACACUAGGUAAUUUUAUUUAUUUUGAAUACCUCUGUUUUACAUUGAAGGUUACGCACAAUUUUGUUUUUAACCAUUUACUGAUUUUGCUGAACUACUCUGUUAUAUCAGUUGAUUAUAACUUGUUUAUUAUUCCAGGGGAUUGUUGCCACCACUAAGCGGCAACCGUCCUGGCGCCGGGACACCAAACGUUUAUGCCACGAAGUGUGCAAGUUGUUGUACAUUUUUUUUUUGUUAUAGGCAUAUAUGUGCAGAAAGCUUAGAAUCUCAUUAAUCUAACUGCAGUACACAAUUUAAAGUAGCUUUUACGGCGACUAACUCCUAUGCAAGUGUUUGAGUAUAGUCAACAUCCACAAAAAUGGCACCAGGGUCGCUAGAGUCUCUAGCAAAAGUCUCCUAGAAGAAACAUUUCAACAUCUUAAAGCUUUCACUUGCUGUCUCGUCACACUGCCAUCAGACUUUUUAAAGAAUUUUUUUUACUCGAUAACAAUGGACCUACAACAAAUAGUUAAUAGCUCUCUACAAUCAGCCAUUAAACCCCUAUUAAGAAAUUAGGGAAUUAAUCCUGCUGGAGGAAUUCAAAAACCACCUUACUGACCGUAUUGUUGUUCUUUUAAAUGAAAAGAAGGUGGCGACGUUGACCCAGGCAGAUUAGUAUUCUGAUGAAACCCUAAUAACUAGAAAAGUACAUUUCCUGAAGAAUGUGGUGUGCUUGCUAGCGGUUUAAAAAGUGUUCAUGGUUUGAAAUAGUGUUUACCUAUCGAAAGGUUUGGAGUCCGUAUAUUUAAAGGUUCAAGAGAUGGGGUUGAUGAGUGUAAUUAGCAUAAAUUAACAUACAUGACAAUUAAACCUCAAAAGUUUUACCAAUUGCAGAUUUCGUGUCUGUAGCUCGAACAGUUCAAAUAAUGCAGCCUAGUAGUUAACACUAUUUACGAUAAUUAGCAUAUGUAAAAUCGAUAACCGUUUCAUAAUUUCCAGUGGGGAUAGCUUAAACGUGUGAAACAAAGUUGGUUUUGUUUGGUUGGUUUUGAACCUCAAAAGGUUCAAAAUAUACAGCUUAAUUGCUAAUUUGAUGCUAAUUUUGCUAAUUAGCAUAUGUAAAAUCAAUAAAGGUUUCUUUAUGUAAACUGGGGAUAGCCUUAACUGGUGAAACCAGUCUGUUUUGUGUCUGCUGCUUGAGCGGUUCAAAAGUUUCAGCCUAGUAGUUAAUUUAUUCUAAUUACGCAAAUGUGCAUAUGUAAAAUCAAAUAACUUUUCCUAAUUUGAAGGAGGGAGAGCCUAAACCGGUGUAACAAAGUUGGUUUUGUGUCUGCAGCUCGAACGAUUCAGAAGAUACAGCCUAGUAGUUAAUUAAUGCUAAUCACGCAAAUUAGCAUACGCAAAAUUGAUAUACGUUUCCAAGUUUGAAGUAGGGAUAGCCUAAACUGGUGUAACAAAGUUGGUUUCGUGACUGCAGUUUGAACGGUUUAAAAGAUACAGCCUUAUACUAAAUUAACAGUAAUCACGCAAAUUAGCAUAUGUAAAAUCAAUUAACAUUUCAUAAUUUGCAGUGGGGAAAGCCAAAUGUGUGAAACAGAGUUGGUUUCAUGUCUGUAACUCAAACGGUUGAAAUAAAAUACAGCCUAAUUGCUAUUUCAUGCUAAUUAAGCUAAUUAACAUAUGUAAAAAUAGAUAACAAUUUCUUAAAUUGCAGUGGGGAUUCCCGAAACUGGUGUAAACAAGUUGGUUUCAUGUCUGUAGCUCAAACAGUUCAAAAGAUACAGCCUAGUAGUUAGUUUAUGCUAAAUAUGCAAAUUAGCAUAUGUAAAAAUCGAUAAACGUGUCCUAAUUUGAAGUAGGGAUUGACUAAACUGGUGCAAAAAAAAUAGUUUUGUGUCUUUAGCUUGAACGGUUCAGAAGAUAUAGCCUAAUUGCUAAUUCAUACUAAUAACACAGAUUAGCAUACGUUGAAUCGAUAAACGUUUCAUAUUUGAAGUAGGGAUAACUUAAACGGGUGUAAAAAAGUUGGUUUCGUGUCUUUUGCUCAAACGGUUCAAAAGAUACAGCCUAAUCGCUAAUUAAUGCUAAUUAUGUAAAUUUGCAUAAUAAAUCGAUAAACGUUUCCUAAUUUGAGGUACACUAAAAUAAUUGACUGUAGAUUUACUUUCACAGUAAGUGACUGUAUGUACAUUUACAGUAAAUUACUGGGAACUAGUUACACAGUUUCACAGUAAGUUACAGUGCAUUAUAGUAAAAUGACAGCUGUAUACUGUGACCUCACAGUAUUUAUGCAAGUAGAUUACUGUCAUUUAGCGGUAUGCUGCUGUAGAAUUACGAAAUUGUCAUUGUAAUGCAAUGUGCUGUAAAUUUAAUACUGUAGAUUUGACCUUUUCACAAUUUCUAUCUGUUCAAUAAACCCAUCAAUAACCUAAAUCUUUGAAAAAUGUGUUAAAUUCAAAUAAACACAAAAACAUGAUACAUUUUUUUAGCAGUUUUAUAUAAACUUUGCAGGACAGUGCAACUACUGCAUUCAUGUUUGUGUCAAUUUCAUUUAGAACCUUUAUACAUCAUAUUCUUAAAACAUUUAGAAGUUGAAGCUAUUUAAAGAUGUUACUUUGGGCUCUAGGAAAUAGUAAUUUCUCAAAAAUGUUUACAUUUUGUAGACUAAACAAUCAAUUGAUUAAUAGAGCAGAUAAACUGGUAAAUAAAGCUGCAAAUGGUUCAUGCUUUGGUACUAAAUAAAAUAAACGUUAGCUGCAGGCCUACUUUAUACAUCAGUUGGCGGCAAUAUACAUAAAAUAGAAUUUUAAAGACAUUUUUCACCUCCAGUUUCACAAAUUAAUUCAAUAAAACGGAAGAGUGAAAUAUUAAAAACACACUUAUAAAACAGUAAACCUUUAACUUAUGCUGUAUGCAUGUCUUGCUUUUCACAGUUACUACAUUGACAUCCACUCAAAGUCAAUUACUUUCCUGAUUAGUGUACACACUUGCUGGUUGAUUUGUCCUCCCUGUUGCUUUGAUUUUGUGCCGUCUCUGAAUUAAUGCCCAAAAAGCACCUAUAAACCAAAACACAGGAGGAAAGUCAUAAGUUUCAUUCAAGUGGGUUUUCCCAAACAGUUUGGACAAUUUGACAUUACUGUGGUUUAGUUAAACAGCAAUUAUUUAAAAUAACAGGAACUGAAAACCAUUUCCAUCACAAACACUUCAAACAACAAAGUGCAGGUGUGUGAUUUACCCAGGCAGCAUCCAUGCAGUGGGCUUCAUUAUGUCAGAUAUACUCAUCAUGCCCUACUGAAAAGGAAGUAAUGUUGUGGCGUAGGCAUAUUGCUUUAAAUCACUGUUAAAAACAUCACUUUGCUUUGGCUUUUCCUUCAAGUAAUUAAAGUUCUUAUCCCAGGCGAUUUUAUUAUCAUCAUCAUCAUUAUCAUGUAUGCUAUGAUAUACUCUGUACUCUAAUGUACUUUUACCUUGUAAUUACUGUUUUUUGUUGUACUUUUACCCUGUAAAGAGCCUUGGUCAACCUUGGUAGUGUGCUAUCUAAAUAAAAUUGAUGUUGUAUAUAACAAUACCAUUAUAAUAGCUGCAAUAAAUUCUAAAUGCUGAACCUAUGGGUAAAAGGUAAAUACAGCUGCUUAUAAAAAGAAAAGACCAAGUGAUUUAAUUGGGUUGUGAUAGCAGGUCUGAAUUAUGUUGGCUUCAGGCAGUGAGGCAACCUUUUUUUUAUAUUUAGAAGUUUACAUUAAAUGAGUACAACAUCAUAGUCUGAACCAUGCACAGAGAUAGUUCGCAAUACAGUUUCUGAAGGUGUAAAUGCACCCAUUAUUAGUUUACCAAAAAAAUAACAAUGCUGUCAGUGUCUCUUGCCUUAUAUUUUUAAUUUUACCUAGGGAUGCACUGACCGAUCAGCUGGUAAACAGAAUCAGCUAGUUUUCAUCAUAAUUGGCCAUGACCGGUGACAAUCAUUCUCACAUAUCCAAUCCUGUGCCGGUCAAAUUUACAUGCAUGCAGACAGUAACCGACACAGCCGCAGCCAGUCUGCACAGGGUGUUUUAUUUUGAAAAUUGACCGAAUUCUCUAUGCCAUCCUGUGUCUGACUUCCUACCAGGUUCGAUCUGCUCUGUGCUUGACGUGACUUCCGUCAAAAAUAGACUUGCCAUGUAUUCUCCGCACAGCGGAGAGCUGCUGCUGGGACACGCUGUGACUCGUCUGUUUCAGGUAGCUCAACAUGUUCUGGACUCGCUGGAAAAGGAAGUAUCUACUGGAGCUGAGAUCAGCCCACACCAGAGAGCCCACAAUACCACAGAUGUUCUUGUAACCCAUCCACCAGUGAAGUCAGAAUUUCAUCAGAGAAACCUGAUUCCACAAGGGACAGCCUCCCAGGUGUCUUCGGCCACAACAAGUUUGCCAGAACUUGUUCACCACCUGAAGGACUUCCUGUUGGUGAUGCUGUUUGGUGGCCAGUAGCAAAGUCCUACUUUGAGCCACAAGCAUGGAACUACUGCCACACAGUCAUCCUCCUCCGGGAACAAAACUACAGAAAACGUAAUCACCUGAAAGCAUUGUUUAUAAAAGUGGUUUAAAAAAACAGCAGCAUAAGACACAUACAGGCUAGCUAAGAACAAUGGGGAUUCACAAAGACGCCUCAGUAACGGAAUUGCAACAAGUCCAGGUUUAGCUAGUCUAUCUAAAUUUACUGCCAAGAGUAACGUAUCCACAUGAUGUGGAUAACGUUACACAAAGAAACACGAUUUAGCUAACGUUACAUAUUAGUUGAUAAAAAUUACAAGGAGUAAGCACAUAUUAUAAAAUUCUAGCUUGUUGAUACACUAAGAAACACGAUUUAGACAAAUUAGGUAACAAUGUUACCAUACACCUGUUCAACUGUUGAUAUGCGAAGAAGCACAAAACAUCCAAACUUGAGGAUAAACGAACAAACAAAAAUAGUAAGCAACCCGUGGAUACAUUGAGUGUAUUAGCUGUCAAACUGUUGUGAGCAUUGAAGCAAAAUGUUAAAUGUCUGUAGCAUAGCUGGAACUUAAAGUUGCAAGUAGAAAACAGGAAAUCUUAUGUAGGCUGUUGCUGGGGAACAAGAGCACAUUGAGCUUGUGUGUCAGACUACAGGAAACAGAAGGGACAGAUUAACAACACACACACACAUCUGGGCAGGGCUGAAUUAAGAAUUCAAGACUGAAACCACAAAGAGCAAAGAUGACGUUUGUGCUGCAUUUACACAUAUAAGGUAUAGAACAUAAACUGGACCAAUGGCACACAUGCUUGGUUACCUCAACCCCCCACUUUUAGGCGUGUUUGAAGUAUAAAUAAUGCUAAUGUGACUGUUAAUAUUCAGACAUUGUGCGGCGACACUCCAGAAGCUUCUGUAAUAAAUGGAAUAUACGGUAAGGUAAUUGACCUGACUCCUGGUGUGUUAUUCUCCUUUCCAUCAAACUCGGGGAAGUGUUAGACUUCAACAAUUUUGUGGGCUCGUCCGAGAUGGAAUAAAGGAGAAGGAAUUCGACCCGGUCCAGACAACCUAUACGAGAUUCACAGGUUCUGAGCCGGCACAUGAUAAAGGUAAGCAGAGCCUAGCAUAGCAUAGCAUAGCAUCAUCUUCCGCUUAUCCGGGGCCGGGUCGCGGGGGCAGCAGUCUAAGCAGGGAUGCCCAGACUUCCCU
ensembl:lncRNA